rnacentral:lncRNA from 1 species
UUUUUGACACUUAUGCCAAAAUUUCCCACAUCACUAAAAUGGAAAACAUAUCAAGCUUAUCAACUACAGCGAGCCAGCCCACAGUUCUUCUUUAACAAGUGAGGUGAGGUGGCAUCUUGUAUAUAAUAUGUUCAAAGCUCUGAAACUGUACCAUGGUGGUAUGUCUUUCAUACACACCUGACCUGCUUACCCACAAAACUCCAUUACUCAAUUCCUCCAUCACAAGAUUGAAGUUUGGUUAUCAGGAAGCUCUGGUUUUACUCAAAAGUGUAGAAAUUUUGGUCAGCUGAAGCUUAUCCAUGCAAAAAUCAUUCGCCAUGGUCUCUCUAAUGAUCAGUUACUAGUAAGAAAACAUCUUGACCUUUGCUCUUUUUAUGGCAAAACGGUUCUUGUUUUUAGUCAAAUUCAUUGCCCACGUGUGUUUACUUGGAAUCUUAUGAUUCGGGCUCUGACUAUUAAUGGCAGCUCCCUGCAACUGCUCUUGCCGUAUAACCUUAUGAUUUACAAUGGCUUUAAACCCCAAGUUUACUUUCCCGUUUGUUAUUAAAGCUUGUAUUGCAUCUUUGGCUAUUGAGAAGGGGAAAGAGGUUCACGGGCUAGCCGUUAAAGCUAGGUUUUUGCGAGAUAUGUUCGUGCAAAACACUUUGAUGGAGUUUUAUUUCAUGUGCAGGGAUGUAGACGGUGGGCGUAAGGUGUUUGAUAAAAUGCGAUGUUAAAAGUGUGGUUUCGUGGACGACGAUGAUCUCUGGCCUUGCCACCUCUGGGGAUUUGGAUGCUGCCCGAGGGGUUUUUGAGCAAAUGCAAACGAGAAAUGUUGUUUCGUGGACAGCUAUGAUUAAUGCGUAUGUUAGGAAUGAGAGAGCUCAAGAGGCUUUUGAGUUGUUUCAAAGAAUGCAGCUUGAUAAUGUCAGGCCGAAUGAGUCUACACUUGUUAGCUUGUUACAAGCUUUUAAGAACUGGGAAAGCCUAAAAUUGGGCGGCUAGAUUCAUGGUUUGAGUCCCAUAAUUAUUUUAUGGGACUUAAUUCCUUGCCAUAGUAGUGGAGGUAGAUUUUUCUUCUCAUAAUUAUGGGUAGAGUACAUAUAUUUUCUUAAUUAGGGUUAAUUUAGGUUUAUUCUCAUGUGAAGUGACAAAUUUUGAAUCGCUCCCUUACUAUUGAACAUAUCAAGUUAUCCCCCAAAAUUCGUUAUCUUUAACCAUUGACCGUCGUUGACUCAUAAAAAUACAAAAAUACCCCUACCUUAACAGAAUAUUUUUGUAACAUCAUUGUAAAACUAAAAAAAAUGGUUGAUGUAUGACUAGUCUUUGAAAAAAAAAAUAGUUAAUGAAUAAUUAAUUGUUGAAAAAUAAAUUAAAAAAUAAAGUAUUGAAAUGACUUAGUAUGCCUAAAUAAUUUGAUAGUUUUCCUUAAUUAGACAUGUUAGUUAAAUAAAUUAUAAUACAUGCCAUCGUUUAUAAGUUACGAUAAUGCCAUCUUCGUCUUUUUCCUUUCAUUUCUCUUCAUUUUUUCUUUCAUUUUUUUUAUCCUUACUCCUUCGUCUUUUUCUUCAUUUUUUUUCUUUUCUUUCAUGUACAUGACUCCAGUAACUUUUUUAUUUUCUUUCAUUUUUCUCAUCCUUACUCCUUCAUCUUUUCCUUUCAUUUGUUUUUUUUUUCUCAUCCUUACUCCUUCUUCGACUUUUUCUUUAAUUUUUUUCUUUCAUGUACAUGACUCCAGUAGCAUUUUUUUUCUUUCCUUUCAUUUGUUCGGUGAAACUCUAGUAACAACUUUCUUUUGUUCUUUGAUUUUCUUUUUUUUAUAUAUAUAUAUAUCUAUAUUUCCUUUAAGUACCUUUAGAAAAUGAAAAAAGAAUAAUAAUGAUAAUAAUAAAAAAUAUGAAAAAAGGUAAAAUAUUCUUAUUUUUCCAUUUGUAGCAUUUAAUUAAUUCCUAUAUUUAUUUUUUAAAAUAAAAUUUUAAAUAUGAAAAGGUAAAAUUUAAUCCGUUCAAAAAAAUUAGUCAUAUAGGCACAAAAUAAAAAAAUAUUUUAAAGUAUUAGGGAACAUACUAUAAAUAUUUGAAAUAUUUAUGUGUUUUUUGAAAACCCUCGAGAGAUUUGGACCCAUGAAAAAUAGUCUACCUAGGUUUGACCUUUUUCUGUUAAUUGACUGUUAGAAAAAUGUGCAGAUACUAUUUUAUCCUUUUAGGCAUUAAAAAUAAUAGAGAGAUAACAAGUUUUGGGGGGUAACUUGAGGUUUUUAAUAGUAACAGGGGCAAUUUGAAGAUUGUCACUUUACGAGGGAGUAGGCCGAAAUUAACCCUCUUAAUUAUGUGCAAGUUUACACUUGCCGCUAGAUUCACGGUUUGAGUCCCAUAAUAAUUUUAUGGGACUUAAUUCCUUACCAUACUAGUGGGGGUAGAUUUUUCUCCUCAUAAUUAUGGAUAGAGUAGAUAUAUUUUCUUAAUUAUGAGUGGGGCAGAAAUAUGGAUGGUGAUAUAAUAAGAAUUAAUCUUGAUCUAAAUUUUUUUUUUUAAAAUAUGAUCUAGAUUUGUCUUACUAGAUAGAUGUCUAUAAGAUUUCAUCUUAACCUAAAUUAGUCUCGAUAGAUAUCUAAUUGUAACAUUAACAAAUUACUUGUUAUAAAUAAUCGAUUAGUCUAUUAAAAGAAAAAACCAAUUACGUAUAUAGUAAGCUUAAUUCAAGUUUUUUUUUCCCUUUUGAAAUAAAAUAUUUGGUAUAUAUAUAUAUAAGCUUAAUUCGUUUAUAUAGAGAGCUUUUCAUUUCAUGAUGCACGAAAUUAGUUCGCAAUGAUGUCCAAAAAGAGUAAUAUAAAUUUUUGGAGAAAAUGCAUAAUCCAUUGAAAUUGAAUAAUUAGCAUCAACCUAAGCAGCAAAAUAAUAGGAAAAGUAGUUAUGGGCCAAAUGAGGCACGAUGACCAUUAAGAAAAUUUGAGCUUGAAGGAGUUGCAGAUGCAGCAUCGAGUAUCAUCUCAAAGGCAUUUUCGAUGCAUGACUUCAGCUUUGGAGAAUCAAUGAAGCCUUCUUCUGCUCCUAAUGAAACCCUUAGAUUUCCCAUGUAGGUCACAAUCGUCACCACAAGACUCUGCAAACCCAUAAAUGCACAAAUAUAAUCAAUCAAAUUCCAAAUUUUUUUUAUUUUUUUAAAAUUUUAGCUGAAGUAUCAAUUAACCUAUACCUGUGGUGAACCAGCCACCAUAAAGUACAAGCCUUUGAUGGGAUGAUUGGCCAAAGCCAUCUUUUCCACCGGUCCCAUCAUAUUGGUAAUCGCUAAACUGGAGUUAUUCAGCGAGCCAUGGAUAAAUUUAGCUGCUGUCUGCAUUACAACUGGACCUAAUAAGUAUAAUCGCACACAUGGCACAAUUUUUGUAGUACUUAAGAAAAGAAAAAUGCUGAAAUUCUGGACAAUAUGACGUGGCAGUAUUGCUCCACAUAUUUAGUAAAAGCUUAAAUAAAUUUUUAACAAUCCUACCUCAUGGCCUCUCAAUUUCUUCACAGUCUCCAAAAGCUUGGCAGUAAGGUAAGCACCGAAAGAACUGCGCUUACUCUGGAUGAUCUCUUGAGCUUUCUGGAUGAAUUUCAGUGGGUUUUGGACCUCCGCAUUGGUUAAUUGAGGAACUGAUAUGUGCAAAAAUGCAAAAUGGUUUCCCCAGGGUGCCUUACUGUCAGGCUUAACCAUCUCCUUGAUGGAACUGAUGCUUUUGAACAUCCUGGUGUUGAGCAGUACCACUGCUGUUGAAUGUAGAUUAGUUGACUCCUGGUUCACUGCUUGCAUGUACAAUCGAAUCCCCAAAAAUAUAGUUCCCGUAAUAACAUCGUUUAGUGUCUGUAUAUUGUCAUUUGACAUUACAUAACGGUUAAAAUAUAGACAAAUAUCUUUUAAAUAGUUAAGCUAAUUUAAUUUAAUUAGUUGAUUGUGGGUGUUGAUUAGUCCAAUUAACAAAAUAUAAAAUCUCUUAUUGCCCUAAGAGCCACUCCUAGAAUCCUUCAGUAAUCAGUAAUCCAUUUUAUUUUUAACUAUCUGAGGCCAGACACAUAAAGGGGCCCAUAAAAAUCGUCCUUUCAAUUUAUGAGCUUGAAUUAUCGACACCUAGGGACGGCAAUUGUGCCCGCAAAUCUACCCAAACCCACCCGUCAAAACCUGCCCACUACGGAUAAUUUUGCGGGUUGCAGGUGAGUUUAGUAUUAUAAAUUGAGACCCGCACUUGAAUGCAGGUGGAUUUGGCAUUAUUAAGGAAAAAUAAUGUAAUUUUUUUAAAAAUAUUUUUAAUUUAAUUUUACUUUAAAAAAAAGUGAUAAAUGAAAUCAACGACGUGAUUUCAUAGCAUACCAAGAAGCACGGCGUUGAAUAUAAAUGACAAUAAGCAACAAGAAAGCUGUGGAAUAAUUUAUUUUUAUUUUCUUAUUUCUUAGUUAGAAUUUUUUUUUCCUAAAUAUUAUUUAAACUUCUAGUGUAUCUCAUGAUCAUUCCAAUCUAUUUUCUCUCUAUUUUUCUCUGACCUUUCAACGAAAAUGAAAGCCUUUUGUUGUAAUCACGUGGCUAUUUUUUGUCAAACGAAUUGUGUUCCAAGUUUAUUACAACAUUUCACUGCACCUACGAAAUAUAAUUCUAUAAUGUACAGAAAGGGGAUGUGAGAGGUGAAACAUGCCGACCCCUCUGCAAAUUUUCAUUGACAAUAAAUUGUCCUGGAAAUAGUGAAGCUUAUGUCGGUACUGAGUAUUUUUCUGGCUCGGUUAUUAAUUAAAGCUUUUGAUGAUCGUUGUCACCGGGUCAUUAUCAAGGAUAAACCUAUGAUACCACAGUUGUAUGGUACCACAGUUGGAUCCAACCAUUGGAUCUAGCCCACAGUUGUCACCAGAACUAAAUUUAAUAGUUGGAUCCAGCUGUGGUAUCAUACAACUGUGGCACCAUAGCUGGACCCCAUUAUCAAUAUUCAUCAUCACAUUCUCUGAGUUCAAAAUACAUAAAAACGAAAAUCACAAGAUCAUGUGAUGUUCACUCUCAUUUUGAGAAGUCAAUAUUAGCGGAAAAAAUGUUUUAUUCUCUCUUGUGAAGAAAAAUGUUCUAAUAUGUGUUUCAUAUGUAAUGACAAUACCUAAGAGAAGUGCUCCCACAAUCUUAGAUAUGUGGACCAUCAAAGGGCCGAAGAGUUGAUGGGGUAUUUUAUUUUUAGAAAUGGCUAGAUCAAUGGCCAAGCUAACAACAUUUUUUAGGUGGAAAUGAUAUAGACAUCCUACCACUUCUUUCUAUCUAAAAAAAAUUUGAAUAAUUUACUUUUAUUUUCUUAUUUCUUACUGUUAAAAAUUUUUACAUCUAAGAUUGCUUUUAUAUUAUAAUCAAAAUAUGUGUAAUUAACUUAAUCACUAGUCACAUUCUCUCAAAAUACUACUCGUAUGUGGACACACAAUAUAUGUGAUCCACAUAUUGUGUUCAGGCGGUGUCUUCAAAACUACAUGCAACAAGAAUAUUAUUGACGUUAAUUUAAUGUCAUCGUGAUUAAGAUACUUACAGCUCCAAGAUUGUCCUUAAUUUGCUUGAUUUGAUGGAGAGGGAAUGUCAUUGUUGUUAUAGUAAUUGGUAACCAGCCCGCCGCAGCACUACCAGAUCUUAUUGGCGUUUUAUCGUCUUCAAUCAAGCUGCUUUUGAUCAUGCUCCAACAAAAAUCUGAAGCUGUAUUGAACACAGUAUUGAAAAACUUAGGUACAUUCUUGAAUAUACUACUGCCAUUAAUGUCUGGUCUCAUUCGAACACUAGGAAAUGUCAAGGGGCGAGAAGGAUCAUCGGCUCUUUGAAGACAUGAAAGAAGAGCUCCCAUCAAUGAGAAGCCGUCGCCAAGUGCAUGAUGAAGCUUCAAUAUCACACUACUUGCUGCAUUGCUCGUUGGAUAUUUUACUAUGUGAACUUCCCACAAUGGUUGGCUUUGAGGCAUUUGUUCCGCGGAUAAUUUUGAUAAGUAAUCUUGCAGGCACUUGUCGUAGAAUUGUUGUGACAUGCCAACGGGGAAAUUUGGAACAUAGACGUGGUUUUUGAGCUUCACUUCAACGCUUUUCCAAUGUUUCACUCCAUUUUUGUCCACAACCUGUUUCAAUAAAAGCACUUUUCAAUAUAUUAAGAUCCGUUUGAUAUAUUUUUUUAAAUUGAGGUUAUUUAAAUAAAAUUUUUGUUAGUAAAGUUUUUUUAAGAACACAUACAGCAUCGUAGACACAACCUUUAAUAUAUUUAAAGACUAAACAAGUUGGUGUAACUACAGAAUAAUUCUAUAUAGAGAGUAAUCAGACAGAACAAUUUAACCUUAAAUGAGCAUUUUAAAACAUGUAAAAAUAUGCGGGAGGAGAAAGAGAAAGGAGGAAUGAUAGGAAUAUAACUAAUUACCAUGAUGGAGGAGAAGCGAGGGUUGAUGGGAAGGAAAAUAUCCUUUAGCAACGGAAUAGCCCUCGAAUCAUCAAAGGGCACUUCUGAUUCCAAAACAGCAAGAAUAGAGAUUGAUAGAAUAGAGCUAUUGAAAUAUUGCCCAAUUGGGCUCACAGGCUCUGCUACCACUUCAUCAGCUUUCUCACACUCCAUUUCCAGUUUUGUGUUAGAUCCUGAAACCUUUUUUUUUUUUUUUCCUUCUUUUGAGCACGAGCUUCUCUUUCUCUUGGUUAAAUAUAAAUGGCAAGCAAGUUAGCUAGGCGUCUUUGUCAAGCAUUAAAAUUUCCCAACUCAAUAGCGGCUCGGCUCGACCUUUAGGCAACUUAGGCGGUUGCCUAGAGCCUCACUUUAUAUGAAGGCCCCACGAAAUGAUUAUUUUGUAUAUAAAAGAGGAAAAUGAAUUUAAAAAUUAUUAUUAUUCAUUUAAGUUAUUAUUAUUUUGUAAUUAUCUUUUCUUAAAUAAAUUAUCAAUUCCUAUAAAGUUUAGUGUAUUUAAUGUAGUACUUAAUAGUUUUAAUUUCUACAAAACCGAUAAAUUAAUAGUUUCAAUCCUACAAAUUCUCUAUUUUAUUGUUAGAAUUAAUAUGUUAUAUUUCAAAAGUUUUAUAUUCAUUUUAAACCCCUAUAAAAGGCCCACAUUUUAUUACUUAUCAAUUAAAUUUUUCCUCCAACAAUCAAGACAUGAUAUGUUCUUGGUGUUUGAGAUAAAGAAAGAGAGAGAAAGAGAAAGAGAAAAAAAUCAUGCUUCCUCUACUUUCCACUCAAGAAGAAAAAGAAAAAAUCUAUUAGUUCUCUCUAUUCUCUAUGACUAUUGGCCAUUACUCAAAUCCUCAAACAAUUAAUGUAAACAUAAGUUAAUUUAUGAUUUCGUCUCAAAUUGUAGAUUUUAUCUUUUUAUUAUUUUCUUAAUUAGUUGUGUUAUUUAUUUGUUCUUAUUUCUUUUUAAUAUAUUCUUUUAUUGAUCUACUUUUUUGUGUGUGCUUGUUUUAUCUAUUUUGCAAUAAAACUAUAUGGAAAAACUUUAGAGACUAGAAGAAUAGAAAAAAUAGUUUAAUUUAGAAAAGGAGUAGUAAAAAAAAGAUAUAAUAUGAGUAAAAAAACAAUAAGUAGAAAUGUUAUAAUUGAAUUAAAAUUUCGUAGAUUAGCAAUAGUAGAAUAGAAUUUUAUUUAAUAAUUUUACAUUUUAGAGUAUUUAAAGAAUUGAUUUUCAAUAAAUAAUAUAUAUAUAUAAUCCUAAAUUUUAGAAAGAAUUAAUUAAAACCAUUUACCUAAAACCCCAAAUAUGAUUGAGCCAGCCCUGUUCCAGCUUAUAUAGUAAUUACAUUCGUUUCCCAUUUAUUUAUCUUACGGGACAAACAUAUUGGAGCCACAGUGAAAGAAUCAGGUGGUCCAUUUAUAUUGAUUUUCUGAUAUUGCUAUUAGGCAAGUGCUAACUUACACAAUUCAUCUCAACCACACAAAAUUAUGGAACCCACAAUUUAUGUGGUUGAAAUGAGUUGUGUAAGUUAUAUUAAAUAUAACUUAGGGACACCCAUUGCUAUUAAUGCAAAGUUCGGUGAGCACAUGAUGACACGUCAAUUUUCAAGGUAGCAAAGUUACUAUUGAAUUCAUUAGAUACUUUCACAUGGUACUCGUUGGAAAUUGUGUCCUCGUAUUUGGAAAAUGACAUUCCUAGAACUUAUAUUAAUAAUUUAAUAUUUAUCACGCAAAUUAUAUGUAAUCUUUCUAUGAAUUUCGAGAUAGAAAGCUCCUCUCUCAUACGGAUACGCUUGAUGGAGAAGGAAGAAUGCGUGCAUUGAAUUUGAACCAUGAGAUUAGUCCAAUGGCAGAUUGGCAACAAUCAAUUGCUUCAAGUUAUAACGCUUUCGACAAUAAUGCUUUUCUUUGUCCUAUAUGGUACAUUAAAAUUCCAGAAAAACCAAAUAAAAUAAUCUCUUUCCUUUAUAAUAUUUAAACAACGACAAGAUGAGGUUAAGUUGUUUUAUUUAAUUGAUCAUUUGUGUUUAAACGGUAGAGAAAUAAAAAAUAAUAAUAAUUUGUGGGUUUCAGAUAGUUCACAAUCUCCUCACAAAUUAUUUGUUUGCUAUUAGACUAAAUUAAAAAAUAAAAAUAAACUUUUUAUAGUGUAGAAUUUGCCCCAAGGUAUGGUUGAAUGUUUUUUAAUUUUUUUUUUUUUUGCCUACCUGAGCCCCAAGGUAUGGUUGAAUGUUUUUUAAUUAUAGUGUAGAAUUUGCCCCAAGGUAUGGUUGAAUGUUUUUUAAUUUUUUUUUUUUUUGCCUACCUGAGUUUGAAUUUUUAGGGCGAUAGUGACCAACAAAUUAAUUUAAACUUUGUCUAUACCGACCUUUUUAAGAAAAUAAUAAUAGUAACUACAAGUUUGUAAUUAUUUUCUUAGUACUAAAAAUAUAAGAAAUUAAAGAAAAAUAACAAAAUAAUAAUAAAGUAAUUGAUGGUGUGUGAAGAGUUAGUGACGAAAAGAAAUUAUGUUUGAUUUUAAUUAAAUUUAUUUUUAUCCUUUUACGCAAUUCUAAGCUAUAAAUUAAAAAGAUUUUUUAUGAAUUAGAAUAAAAAAAUUUCUUGACGUUGAAGAGUCAAGAAAGGAGCCACAUGCAAUUUCCGACAAAUUUAAUGUUUUGGUGUCCAAAUUUAAAGCUUUGGUGGCCAAACGGAUGCUAUUUGGAGAUUUUCUUAUUUCAUGAAACGGUGCCCAACAUGGUUGAAAACAAUUAAAGGAUUUGGUGCAAUAGUGUAAUUGUUUUGCCCAUAAAUUGAAGCCACUUCUUUCAUUCAGUGUAUCCUAAAAAGUAGAGAGCUUAGGUGAAGAGCUCUCUAAGAGAAUAUUCAAGAGAGUUAUCAAUGAGAGAUUUCAGAGAAAGAGAUUAUCUGCAAGUGAGUUCUUAGAAAGUUUGGGAGAGCGUUUGCUUGGGUGUUGAGUUGGGUUAUUUGUAGAGAUGUGAGAGAAUGUUUGUCUUAGGAAAAAUGUUUCUUUUAAAAUAUGUGAGAGUAAUGGAUAUAUUUUGAUAAUUACUCUAAUUUGUAAUCUAUUAAUUGUUAGUAAAAUAAUUAUCCUCUUUUGUUUCCGUGGAUGUAUUUUUAUUGUCGAAUCACGUAAAAUUCUUGUUUCGCUUUUUUUUUUUUUGUGAAUAUUUGGUGUGUAUUAAUUCUGCAUUUGCGCAAAAGUAGUAUCAAACCACAACAAAUGAUGCUUUUAUAGCACAAGUGGUAUUAGAGAGCAACAACCAGUACUAGAGCACAAUAAGUGGUAUCAAAGCAAGACAAUUGGUAUCAGAGUCGAUACUUCAUACUUGCGAUACGCACUGUUCAUGAAUAUAGUGGAGCAGAUGAUUCGUACUUGAGGUAUACGGUUUUGUUCACGUAUAUGAUAAUAUUCGUGUAUACAAUAUUAUUCACAUAUAUGGUAUUGUUCACAAAUACGAUAGAGCCAACAGUUCCUACUUAGGUAUAUCAAAAGCAUGUAAUAUUGUUAUGUAGAUAAGUGCAUGUCCAGGAAAUUUCUGCCAACAAAACUAUCAUUGUCUAAGGAGUCUAAGUUUUAAGUAAGAUGGUUGUGACCUCUCCAGCCUUUCCUACAACUUUGUUGGUGCAUUUUUCAUACGAACAGACACAAAAUAGACUAUUUUUCUUAGGUGUGAAUAGUUGUUGAAAUGGUAGUGUUGGUUUGCUUAUUGCUAAAGGUAUCAGUGUGCAAAUGUACACAACAAGUAAUAUAAUGAUGAAUAUUCAAAUCGUCUCCACAAUGAUUGAUGUUAUAAGAUUUGUUUCAACAAUCUUAACAAUGCAAUUUCAAUUUAAUUAAAAUAAAAUAAUUAAUGAAAUUAAUGAACUAACUAAAUUAAAAAAAAAAAUGCGAUAAACCAAAUCCAAUAAAGAAAAUCUUAAGUCAAACCCAAAGAUGUACUUAAUGGGAAAUGAGUAGUUGAGUGAUAGAUUCUUUAAAUGCAUUUCAAUGCACAACCUAGCAUACUUCCCUCAUCCCGCCAAGAAGUACUUGUGAACUUUGACAAUCCGUCCUAUUUUGUUUAGUCAUCACAAUGAAAAUACAAAAAAAAUAUAUAAUAAAGACAUCCCCUUUCAUAUGUUCAAGAUAUUUAAUAAUGGACAUUGAGUUAAAUAUCCUUAUAAAUUUAUAAAUAACGCUAAGGUUCUAUCUUAGCGUACUUGCAACUAUAACACUUGUAUAACACAAAUAGUUUUGUAUGUGAGACAUAAUAAAUAGAUUGGUCAAAUUUCUAUUAGUUAAGUUCUUCCAAAUGACAUAUCAUGAUGACCAAGGAAAUUCAUACAACAAUUGAUGUCAUCUUGAAUAAAUGUGUUAUUUCGAGGCUUUAUCAUGAAGUUGGCAAGGUCAAUAGCAUUUGGAUUUUAGUUGUAGGGAUGACAAUGUUACCUAUAAAUUUACCCAAACCUGCCAUCAAAAGAUGCCUGCUAUAAGUAAUUUUGUGGGUUGCAUGGGAGUUUACUAUAAUAAAUUUAAAUCCGCUAUGGGUUAUCGGUGGGUUUCGUAUUAACAAAAAACUUGUGUGGGUAUCUGGCAAACCCUUAAUUUUAUUUUUUUAUAAAUUUAAAUUAUUAAAAUUACACUAAAAAUAUUUAAUUAUAAAAAUACAUAAACUAAGUUAUUGACAAUAAUUUAUUGCUCAAGACCUAACCCAAUCUUCUUAAUUAUAAAAAAAAAUAAUUGUUGUCGCUAACUUGAUUCACAUCGUCCUCUUCACAGUAUGUAUGCAUAUAUUUUUAAAAAACACUUGUGUAGCUAUCAACGAAAAAACAAUCAUAUUAGUUGAAAUGAGUUUGUCUUAGAUUUAUUGGUUUCAACAAAAAAUCCACCCAAAUUUAGCUACUAAUCUAACUUUUAAUGCAGAGUUAAUUGUAUAUUUGUAUGCAGUAGUGAAAGUAUAUUUUUAUAGAAAUGUUAGAUAAAUCUAUUUUUUUGGAUGUUAUAUUAUGAUUUUAGAUGUGGUGUUAUUAUUUGAAACAAAUAUGUUGUUGUUGCCAUGGCUAUGAGUUACAGGCAAAACCCGCUGACUUGAAAUAAAUGUGUUGCUACUACUGCUACUGUGCGUUGCGGGCAAAAAUAGCUGCAGAUUGCAGGAGGAUUAAUUAGUAACUGUUAAAACUCACAACGGGUGGAUUUUUAAAAAAAAAUUAAAAAUUUACAGUGAGUUGUGGAUGAAUCUAAUAAUUUAAAUUUUUUAUAAGUACUGAUUUGAUAAUGACAAACCCACUACGAUCAGUAUCCAUUACCACUCUAGAUUAAGGGGAAGCAUAAUUUUAUUUCCCUAAAUGGCAAACUCAAUUUGUUAGAUUAGAAGAUGAAGAUAUCCUCAAAAGUUCUUCUGUGUAAUUAGUCUUCACAUGUCUUCAGAAAUCUUCAUCAAAUUCUAUAGUUAAUAAAUCGAGUCUUCUAUUCGUGUAAUCUUCAACUUCUUCCAUAUGCAUGCAGAAAUGCAGAAUAAGACCAUUCAUAUAGCGCCACGUGUCAUUAGAAUAAAGCAUUCAUAUAUCCUAAAUGAAUUAGAAUUAAACACCGAUUAGAGUUCAUUACUAAUUUUAACUCCUGUGCAGAUUAGGUAACUACGUGCGUUUAUAAACUGCUAUAUUAUUUCAACUACCGGAGGAAAAACAGCACGGGGAAAAGCAAAGGGGAGGCUUCGAGCGAGGGAACAAGUUUGCAUCUUCGUCUUCACAGCCAUGGUAGGGUUUGGCUUAUUCAAGAAGAAAAAGAUUUCGAGUUCCAAAACACCGGCGUCAUCGAUUCAGGACUUGGAGAGAAUCAUCCCGGAGAUGCGGAUGGUUCUUUUCGGUGAUGAUGAUGAUGAAGUGACAGUUUCAGAGAGAGCCUGCGACCAAUUGACGAACACGUUCUUCAGCGAAGGCCGGCUCCGUGUUCUAAUCCUGUCUCUCCCAAAGCUCGAGUCCGGCCUCCAGUUGGACGCCAUUCGCGUUAUUGCAGGCUUGCAGAGACGAAGGGUCGCGGCGAAUCCGUAUAUCGCUUCCGAUUAUAUGGAAAAUAAUUUGGAUUUGAUAGACAUUCUUUUAUCUGGGUACCAAGUUGAUGAUCUUGCUCUCACUUAUGGCGCCAUUGCCAGAGAUUGUAUUCGUCAUCAGUGCGUGGCCAAGUACGUGUUGGAAUCGGAUCAUAUGAAGAAGUUCUUCGCAUAUUUGCAGAACCCGAGUUUCGAAAUUGCCUCAGACGCACAAGCAACGUUUAGAGAACUCCUGACAAGACAUAAGUCUACAGUUUCCGAGUUUCUUUCCAAGAAUCAAGAUUGGUUCUUUCAAGAAUACAAUUCCCAGUUGCUCGAAUCCCCUAAUUACAUCACAAGAAGGCAUGCUGCUAAACUACUGGGAGAUAUAUUGCAGUGCAGUUCAAAUUCUGCUGUGAGAGACAAAUAUGUUAGCUCAUUGAAUAACUUGAGGGUCGUGAUGAAUCUUCUCAGAGAUUCCAACAGACACAUUCAGUUCGAGUGCUUCCAUGUGUUCAAGCUGUUUGUUGGGAAUCAGAGUAAGCCUCAGGAGAUCAUCCGUGUUCUGCUGGCGAAUCAGAGCAAGCUUCUUCAGUUCUUCGGGGAGUUUUAUCUUGAUCGAGUGAAUGAUGAGCAGUUCGAAGCUGACAAGUCUCGAGUUAUGAGAGAGAUUAUCAAUACGACGAGUGUUACUGUUAAAAGCUAAAUUGUUGUUAUUUAUUUGCUUGUAAAUUCCAUCGAUGUAAAAUGACUAAAUUGUUCAUCAAUGAAAAGCUUUUUUGUUUCUUUUGACAUUUAUGCCAAAAUUUCCCUCAUCACUAAAAUGGAAAACAUAUCAAGCUUAUCAACUACAGCGAGCCAGCCCACAGUUCUUCUUUAACAAGUGAGGUGAGAUGGCAUCUUGUAUAUAAUAUGUUCAAGGCUCUGAAACUGUACCAUGGUGGUAUGUCUUUCAUACACACCUGACCUGCUUACCCACAAAACCCCAUUACUCAAUUCCUCCAUCACAAGAUUGAAGUUUGGUUAUCAGGAAGCUCUGGUUUUACUCAGAAAGUGUAGAAAUUUUGGUCAGCUGAAGCUUAUCCAUGCAAAAAUCAUUCGCCAUGGUCUCU